AGAUGGGAUUCAUUUAUCAUCUGAAGGGAGCAAGAUAGUUGUUGAUCUUUUUACUGCACUUCAGAAAAGAGAUGAUUGGAUGGAUGCUUGCUUCAUAGAUGGGAUUCAUUUAUCAGCUGAAGGGAGCAAGAUAGGUGUUGAAGAGAUACUAAAGGUGAUCAAGGAAGCUGACUGGGAGCCAUGUCUACACCGGAAGUCCAUGCCAACUGAAUUUGCAGAGGAUUCACCAUACGAUCUUGUUGCCACUGAUGGAAAGACAACAUUAAAUCCAUCAGAAUGGACUUUCUAAAGGGAGCAUCAGUGGGACUAAGAUAUGUCAUUUGCUUUCAUUUCCAUGUAGAAAGACAAGUAGCAAGAUAGAAAGCAGGGAGAGGGGUUAUCGUUAUUACAAUUGUUUCUUUUAAAGCACACUUAAACUGGAUUAUUUCAUGUUCAAUUUAAUUUUAAAAGGUCACAUUUUAAAUUGGCACAUUGGCAGUGUUAUUUGGAAAGAAGUUUGUCCCUAGUCCACUCUACCCUUUUAUGUUAUUAUAGAAUAUCUCUGCCAAAAUCAUCAAAGUUAGAUAUCUUUUCCUGAAUUUUUUUCCCCUUGUCUUAUCUUUCUUAGUUGUUUUUAUAAAUGAAUAGAAUAGAGUGCGAGUGUCACUACGAUGGGUGGUUGACCGCCACGAGGCAUCGACAGAGUCGAUGGAUAGGCCCAGUUCUUGUAACUGAUUUUUGCAAAGUGGUGCACACUGUAAACCACCAUUAGUUUGGUAAAGUGAGUGCAAGCGCAUUAAUAUAUUAAUACAUGUGGGUGGCAUAAUAAGUGAUCUUGGUGUAGAUUUUUAGGAUCACAUUAAGGUUGGUGACAGCAAACUGCAUUUUUCAAUUAAUGUCAAGUUGUGUUGCACUGUUGUUGUUUUACUUCACCUUAUUUUGUCUGGGCUAAUUGACAAGCAUUUGGUCACAAUGAGAAUUUUUUACACUUUGCCACCAGGAGGUCACCUUUGUUCAAUAGGUUGAUUGUUUUGAGUAUAAAUGCAGGUUCCUAGCAAGUUUGCUGUUGCCGCUGCCCCUGUUGCAGCAGCUGCUUCUGGUGGUGCCCCUACCGCUGUUGCAAAGGAGGAAGAGAAAAAGGAAGAGCCUGUUGAAGAGUCUGAUGAUAACAUGGGUUUUAGUUUAUUUGACUAAACCUUGGGUUAUUGGUGUUUAUUUCUUGAUGGUUUACUUUAGAACUGUUUUGUUUUUUGAGAAUUUUUAAGUUUAAUUUUACAAAAUAUAUCCUCCAUUUGAGAGAAUUAUUAAUUUGGAUGUCGUUCUA